rnacentral:rRNA from 1 species
UACGUAGGUGUCAAGCGUUGUCCGGAUUUACUGGGCGUAAAGAGCCCGCAGGCGGCUCGGCAAGUCUCGGGUGAAAUCUCCCGGCUUAACUGGGAGUGGUCUCGAGAAACUGCCGGGCUUGAGGCAUGGAGAGGGAAGUGGAAUUCCAGGUGUAGCGGUGAAAUGCGUAGAUAUCUGGAGGAACACCGGUGGCGAAGGCGGGUCUCUGGGCCGAUACUGACGCUGAGGAGCGAAAGCGUGGGGAGCGAACAGG